AGAAAAGCUUUGAAAAGAAGAGUACAUGUCAUGGAAGUUCAAAGAGAGCCCUGUAUGCUGAGAAUGGGCAGCGAAAGUGAGAUGGAAGAUGGUCUUAGAGCAGAGUAAGCGAGCGGAAGCGAACUUGCUACGGGUGCGCCCGUUAAAGCGCGACAGUAUGCGAGUAUCUCAAGUACUGGAUAAGGUUAUUAUUGUGAGAUAAUAACAAAUCAAGGUGGUAACACGGAAGUUUCAGCUUUCGUCCUUUUG
rnacentral:ncRNA from 1 species